rnacentral:rRNA from 1 species
AAGGUGAAACCGCGAACGGCUCAUUACAACAGCUAUAAUAUACUUGACGUUGACUAUCCUACUUGGAUAACUGUGGUAAUUCUAGAGCUAAUACAUGCACCAAAGCUCCGAUAAUGACGAGCGCAUCUAUUAGAUUAAAACCAAUCAGGUUUUGGCCUGUUUAUUGGUGACUCUGAAUAGCUAAGCUGAUCGCAUGGUCUUGUACCGGCGACGUGUCUAUCAAGUGUCUGCCUUAUCAACUUUCGAUGGUAGUUUAACUGCCUACCAUGGUCGUUACGGGUAACGGAGAAUAAGGGUUCGACUCCGGAGAGGGAGCCUUAAAAACGGCUACCACAUCCAAGGAAGGCAGCAGGCGCGCAAAUUACCCACUCUCAGCAUGAGGAGGUAGUGACGAAAAAUAACAAGACCGUUCUCUAUGAGGCCGGUUAUUGGAAUGAGUACAAUUUAAAUCCGUUAACGAGGAUCUAUGAGAGGGCAAGUCUGGUGCCAGCAGCCGCGGUAAUUCCAGCUCUCAAAGUGUAUAUCGUCAUUGCUGCGGUUAAAAAGCUCGUAGUUUGAUAUGCGCUACAGGAUUCGGUCCGCCCAUUGGGCGUGAACUGAACCCCUGGGCUAGUAUUGUUGGUUUUCCUUACGUUACCUUAAUCGGUUGCGUAGGGUGACUAACGAGUUUACUUUGAAAAAAUUAGAGUGCUUAACGCGGGCUUAUGCCUGAAUAUUCGUGCAUGGAAUAAUGGAAUAGGAUCUCGGUUCUAUUUUGUUGGUUUUCUGAUCUGAGAUAAUGGUUAAGGAGGGACAGACGGGUGGCAUUCGUAUCGCUUCGUGAGAGGUUGAAAUUCUUGGACCGUAGCGAGACGCCCGACUGCGAAAGCAUUGUGCCAAAGAAUGUCUUCAUUAAUCAAGAACGAAAGUUCAGAGGUUCGAAGGCGAUCAGAUACCGCCCUAGUUCUGACUGUAAACGAUACCAACUAGCAUUCCGUCAUCGGUAAAUAUGCCUUGGCGGGCAGCUUCCCGGAUACGAAAAGUGUUUGGGUUCCGGGAGAAGUAUGGAUGCAAAGCUGAAACUUAAAGAGAUUGACGGAAGGGCACCACCAGGAGUGGAGCCUGCGGCUUAAUUUGACUCAACACGGGAAAACUCACCUGGCCCGGACACCGUGAGGAUUGACAGAUUGAGAGCUCUUUCUUGAUUCGGUGGUUGGUGGCGCAUGGCCGUUCGUGGUUCGUGGAUUGGUCUGUCAGGUUUAUUCCGAUAACGAGCGAGACUCUGACCUACUAAAUAGUAUCUAGAUUAUUUUUGUCUAGACGACUUCUUAGAGGGACAAGCGGUGUUCAGCCGCAUGAAGUUGAGCAAUAACAGGUCUGUGAUGCCCUUAGAUGUUCAGGGCUGCACGCGCGCUACACUGGAGGAAUCAGCGUGCUUUAACCAUCUCCGAGAGGAGCUGGUAACCCGUUGAAAAUCCUCCGUGAUCGGGAUCGGGGAUUGCAAUUAUUCCCCUUGAACGAGGAAUUCCUAGUAAGUGUGAGUCAUCAGCUCACGUUGAUUACGUCCCUGCCCUUUGUACACACCGCCCGUCGCUGCCCGGGACUGAGCCGUUUCGAGAAAAGCGGGGACUACUAUUGUUUCUUGAUCUUUCGAGGUUUAAGAUUCUUGGUGGUGGAAACCGCGUUAAUCGCAGUGGCUGAACCGGCAAAA